AGCAGCCGCGGUAAUUCCAGCUCCAAUAGCGUAUAUUAAAGUUGUUGCAGUUAAAAAGCUCGUAGUUGAAUUUCGGGAUCAAUCUAUCGGUCGUGCAAUAGUACGUACUGAUUUUAUUGAUUCCUCCCUUCUGAUGAACUAUGAUGUCAUUAAUUUGGUGUCAUAGGGAAUCAGGACUGUUACUUUGAAAAAAUUAGAGUGUUUAAAGCAGGCUCACGCUUGAAUACAUUAGCAUGGAAUAAUAGAAUAGGACGGUGGUCCUGUUUUGUUGGUUUCUGAAUCACCGUAAUGAUUAAUAGGGAUAGUUGGGGGCAUUAGUAUUCAAUUGUCAGAGGUGAAAUUCUUGGAUUUAU
rnacentral:rRNA from 1 species